CUACGGGAUGCAGCAGUGGGGAAUAUUGCACAAUGGACGAAAGUCUGAUGCAGCAACGUCGCGUGGAGGAUGACACAUUUCGGUGCGUAAACUCCUUUUAUAUAAGAAGAUAAUGACGGUAUUAUAUGAAUAAGCACCGGCUAACUCCGUGCCAGCAGCCGCGGUAAUACGGGGGGUGCAAGCGUUACUCGGAAUCACUGGGCGUAAAGAGCAUGUAGGUGGAUUAAUAAGUUGGAAGUGAAAUCCUAUAGCUUAACUAUAGAACUGCUUCCAAAACUGUUGAUCUAGAAUGUGGGAGAGGUAGAUGGAAUUUCUGGUGUAGGGGUAAAAUCCGUAGAGAUCAGAAGGAAUACCGAUUGCGAAGGCGAUCUACUGGAACACUAUUGACACUCAGAUGCGAAAGCGUGGGGAGCAAACAGGAUUAGAUACCCGUGUAGUC
rnacentral:rRNA from 1 species